GUAGGACUGGAAGCACAGACAGGGACAUGGGAAAUACAGCUAACAAUCAGAAUCACAGAAUCAAAGUUUCUCAAACUAGUGUCCAAGGAGGCCAGUCUGUCUCACCCCAGAGAGGCAUGUCCCUGAACCUCGAUGACAUCCAGGGAGUUGAAGUAGGUAACAAACAGGUAGGGCUCUCUGUAGGCUGCACCAGAGAAGAAUACCAAAUUAUACAGAUGUCAAUUGCUGUAUUGAUUCAGCAUAAAGUGGCAGGAGAUAGAAAGAGUGUUUACCAAAGGACAGAGGCAGACGGCUCCACUUAAUGUCCUCAGUACGGCUUCUUCGUCCAUACGUGUCCACAAACACUCCAAACUCUGCCACAUAUAUAAAGUUUACUGUGCACUCCCCCAUUAUUGUGUCUAACUCUACACAGAUAAGAUAUUGUAUGUAGAUGUAGAUAACCCUACAUAUAAAGAUAAGGCUCACCCACCUCUAGAAAAUACAAUUUUCUCAAAAACAUUGAGGACAUGGUGCUAAAAACAGAAUUUCGUGUUUAUCCUCGCGUUGUUAACAGAAAACAGUUUCAGCCUCACCGUGAAAACACAGCAGGUAUUCCUCCUUCUGCAUGUUGCUGGCCACUUGCAUGAUGGCGAUGGGGAAACUGUGGGACGAGGCUGCAAACACCGCAGAGGCCAGCGACACGUCGUUCUUGUCCAGGAACUCUGCAGUGGGUAAAUCAGAAAAUGUGAGUUUAAACACUGUGUCUAAACUCUUGGUCUUUAUUCCCCUUCCCCCAAAAGAGCCAGGGGCCAGUGACUGUUCUCAUGUACUUACCCUCAAGCACAAACUGCUUCAUCUCAAUCUCGUAGAACUUAUUGGUGCCGAUGAUGAUGCUGUAGCUGGUCAUGUGAAUGCAGCUGCAGGGCUCCAGAGUUUCAAUCUCCUGUGAGAUGAAACAUAGAGAUGUGAGAAGGCUUGUCUCAGUUCUUUUUUGUACUUUUUAUUCUUAAAAAUCCUGACACUUUUAUUCAUUGCAAAGGAUAUCCAAUCCAUCAGUUGAAAAGCUGAAGCUUGAAUUCUUGGAUUAAAUUCUGUUUUCAGUUCAGUUUCAGUUCAGUUAAAUCCAUCAUGAAGAGAUGGAAGGUACGUGUCACAUGUGUAAAUCUGCCAAGAGCAGGCCAUCUUCACAAACUGAGUGACCGUGCAAGAAAAAUACCAGUGAGGGAGGCCACCAAGACACCACACUAAUCUGAAGGAAUUACAACUUUAUGAGAGAAAGCCACUGCUGAAGAGGGUAAAGUGACAGCAAGACAAUGACCUGAAGCAGUGAAAACUACACAGAAAUGGCUAACAAGGUGAAUGUUCUGGAAUGGCCCGGACCUCAUUCCUUGAAAAGGGCUGUUCAUGCCUGAUCCCUGUGCAAUCUGACAGAGCUCGAGCAGUUUUGUAAAGAAGAAUGGAGCCAAACUGUAGUGUCCAGACGUGCAAACCUGACUGAGACCUAACCAUUCAGACUCAGUGCUGUGACUGGGGCCAAAGGUGCAUCUACUAAAUACUGAUUUGAAGGUGUCACAGCGGACAGGAAGACCUACUCUCCCAGCAGCAAACAGAUGGCAGCCUUUGACCGUCUCGAAGAUGUAGGGGCCCAGUUCAGACUGGCUGGGCAAGUGGGACUGAGCCAGAGAUUGCUUCACUCUCUUAAUCUCCACCAGACACAAGGCCCUCUCGUCGCCUGCACAUGGGCACACCCACACCCACACACACACACACACACACACACAUAUAAACACACACAUAAACAUACACAGACGUUAAAUCAGUUACGUGUGAUGAAGUCCUGAGUAACAAGAUGUUUCAUAUCAACAAAUCAGAAUGGUGGUCUGGCUUUCCAAAGUAAUAAAUCAUUUUUAUAAUGGUGGCUGUUCUGGCAGGAGAUGCCGGAUUUGGAUUUAUGGGUACUCACUCCCUGAACUGAACUAACUUAAAGUCUAGAUUCAAAUCCUGCAGCUCAGUAAACAUUUAUUGUCUGAGAAAGACAAAGCUGGACCUCUCACCAACAAUCAUCAGCAGUUUCUCCUGCUCUUUGAUGAUGUGGAUCUGAAAGACUGAUCCCAGGCCAGGGAUGUGAGUCAGAGAGUUCUUGAUGACGUUCAGGGCGUACAGACCCUCUUCAGAGCCCACCAGAACUAUCUGCAGCACAGCGAGCAAACACAAUCUUUAACAUCACCGAAAUUAUUCCGGUGAACAUGGAGAUAUUUUCAAGUGAAGCAACGUGUGGCAGUGAGCCCUGAGCAUCUGCUAUGAGCUCCAUGUCCCUUUAUAAUCUACUUUUGAACAAAACUGCUAGUGUGGAAAAAAGUGUUUUCUAAAUGAUGAGCAGAUGAAGUGAAAAAAAUGUUUUCUGUUUGUGCAUAGACAGCACUGUCACCAACACUGCAGUGGCAUUCCAUCGACAGCACUACCUGGUCUGUGAGGGGGAGGGUGCAGUUGAUAUCCAGCCUGUCAUCUCCCUCCAGCUUAAGGAGAGAGUUUCCCAGCAGCUUCUGUAAGAGCAGAGAGAGGGAAACCAUGGAGGCACUGCAGAGACAUCCAUCUGGGUAUGGAGAAACAGUGAACAGCAGCGGCAGCUCAUGUGAUGGAGGAAGAUAAAACUGAAGUAAGAAAGAGAAAUAAUUUUCAAUAAUGGAAUAAGAGAUACUUCAUGGGCAAACAGGUUUCUUCAAUAUGACUUUUUCUGUAUUUAUAUUAUAAUCGACUGUGUUUUAAGUAGUUUGCUUCCAGUUCAGAAGCUCAUGCUUACCUUUUUG